UCCGUAGGUGAACCUGCGGAAGGAUCAUUCAUAAUAAGUGUUUUAUGGCACUUUUUAAAUCCAUAUCCACCUUGUGUGCAAUGUCGGUUGGUCUUCUUCAUGGAGAUCGACCAAACAUCAACCUAAUUUUUAACUCUUUGUCUGAAAAAUAUUAUGAAUAAAUAAUUCAAAUACAACUUUCAACAACGGAUCUCUUGGCUCUCGCAUCGAUGAAGAACGCAGCGAAAUGCGAUACGUAAUGUGAAUUGCAGAAUUCAGUGAAUCAUCGAAUCUUUGAACGCAUAUUGCGCUCUUUGGUAUUCCGAAGAGCAUGCUUGUUUGAGUAUCAGUAAACACCUCAAAGCUUUUGAUUUAUUUUGAAAGUUUUGGACUUGAGCAAUCCCAACACCAAUCUUUUAAGAUCGGCGGCGGGUUGCUUGAAAUGCAGGUGCAGCUGGACAUUCUCCUGAGCUAAAAGCAUAUUUAUUUAGUCCCGUUAAACGGAUUAUUACUUUUGCUGCAGCUAAUAUAAAGGGAGUUUGACCGUAUUGGCUGACUGAUGCAGGAUUUCACAAGGGUCGGCAACGAUUCUUGUAAAACUCGAUCUCAAAUCAAGUAAGACUACCCGCUGAACUUAAGCAUAUCAAUAAGCGGAGGA
rnacentral:rRNA from 1 species